CCUACGGGAGGCAGCAGUCGAGAAUCAUUCGCAAUGGGGGAAACCCUGACGGUGCGACGCCGCGUGGGGGAUUGAAGUUUUCCGAUUUGUAAACUCUUGUCAUGUGGGAGCACAUUAAAAAGGUAACUCAACAGGAAGAAGAGGCGACUAACUAUGUACCAGCAGCCGCGGUACUACAGAGGGAUCAAGUGUUGUUCGGAAUUACUGGGCGUAAAGGGUGCGUAGGCUGGUUAGUAAGUCGUGGGUGAAAGGCGCGGGCUCAACCUGCGGACGGCCGAUGAUACUGGGAGACUAGAGUGAGGGAGGGGGAAGUGGAAUUCCUGGUGUAGGAGUGAAAUGCGUAGAUAUCGGGAGGAACAUUAGUGGCGAAGGCGAGUUCCUGGACAUUAACUGACGCUGAGGCGCGAAAGCGAGGGGAGCGAAAAGGAUUAGAUACCCUUGUAGUC
rnacentral:rRNA from 1 species